rnacentral:misc_RNA from 1 species
UCCAGGUUGUACCCGGCAGUCCGCCUAGAACAUCCAACUAGGCGCGAGGGUUGCGCUCGUUGCGGGACUUAACCCAACACCUCACGGCACGAGCUGACGACAGCCAUGCAGCACCUGUGCGACACCCCUUGCGGGCAUCGGCUUUCACCGACUGUAAGCCGCAUGUCAAGCCCUGGUAAGGUUCUUCGCGUUGCCUCGAAUUAAACCACACGCUCCGCUGCUUGUGCGGGCCCCCGUCAAUUCCUUUAUGUUUUAGCCUUGCGGCCGUACUCCACAGGCGGGCCACUUAAUGCGUUAGCUUCGGCACGGGAGGGGUCGAUACCCCCCGCACCUAGUGGCCACCGUUUAGGGCGUGGACUAC